AACGUAGGAGACAAACGUUAUCCGGAGUUACUGGGCGUAAAGGGCGUGUAGGUGGUUAAGUAAGUCUGGCGUGGAAUUUUUCGGCUUAACCGGGAAAGGUCGUCGGAUACUGCUAAACUAGAGGACGGUAGAGGCGUGUGGAAUUCCGGGUGUAGUGGUGAAAUGCGUAGAGAUCCGGAGGAACACCAGUGGCGAAGGCGACACGCUGGGCCGUACCUGACACUGAGGCGCGAUAGCAUGGGGAGCAAACAGG
rnacentral:rRNA from 1 species